rnacentral:tRNA from 1 species
GGGACGUAGCUCAGGGGUAGAGCGUUUCCUUGGUAAGGAAGAGGUCGUGAGUUCAAAUCUCAUCGUUG